UACGUAGGGUGCAAGCGUAUCCGGAAUUAUUGGGCGUAAAGAGCUCGUAGGCGGUUUGUCGCGUCUGCUGUGAAAACCCGAGGCUCAACCUCGGGCCUGCAGUGGGUACGGGCAAACUAGAGUGCGGUAGGGGAGAUUGGAAUUCCUGGUGUAGCGGUGGAAUGCGCAGAUAUCAGGAGGAACACCGAUGGCGAAGGCAGAUCUCUGGGCCGUAACUGACGCUGAGGAGCGAAAGCAUGGGGAGCGAACAGG
rnacentral:rRNA from 1 species